CGCUUUCACUAUUGUACUUUGUAUUUUGAGUGCUAGAGGAAGGAAUAAAGAAAGAAAAGAAAAACAAGCAAACUUGAGAAAGAAGUGGAAAGCAAAGUCAGGACAGAAAGAAUAAUCUACACAGCCUUUAUUGGAUUCUUGCAGAAGAUAUGUGCAUUAUUGAACCAAUCAUACAAGAAAGACUCUAUUCCAGCACUGAAGAAUGAUAAGUCAUCCCAGAAGGUUCAUCCACUCCCAGUUGAUUUUAGGAUGAUCCACUGGCAUAUGUUUUGGAUUACAGCUUUCUGGUAGAUGCAUCAGGGGAAGAUUUAGGGGCAAUACUUCUGCAAGGAGGAAGGAGAAAAUGGAGGCUGGUGCUGUUUAUCAACUGCAAUUUUUUUACGAGGGAAAAAAUUAUGAAGUGGUAGAGAAGGAGGCACUGGUAAUAAAAUGGGCUAUAGAUAAUUUAAAAUUGUAGUGAAUGAGUUUCUGGUGGAGAGUGACCACAGAGCGCUGCAGCAUAUAUAGAGGAUGACAUUUAUAAACACUUGCAAUGCUCAAUGUCACCUUUGCUUCAGUCAUAUAGGUUCAAGGUGAGACAUAUGUCGGGAAAAAAGAAGUGUUUGGCCAAUCCCGCCAGUGUCGACUUAUGUAUCGGUAUGUGGUGCAGUGCCUUAGCACCUCACUAAACUAAGGGCAGUUGGCAAAAGCAUGAAUGUUUAUAGUCAGCAUUUUCCCAUGUAAAUACAAUGGUGCACUUAGCCUUUUUUCUUUCUUUGGUUGCUGCAUGAGGACGCCCGGUAAAAGUGAUGCCAAUUGCCAGUCCCGGAAGAAAGAGUUUCAGGGUGGCCAACAACACAAGACGGCAGGCAUGGUGAAGUAGCUGCAAUGAAGUCAAGAUGCGCGUAAAAAGAAUGCCAGCUUACACAGAUGAAAGAGCAGGGCCCGCUGGAGGAAUAAGAAGCCGUACAACGAGUGCAGGAACACUGCUGCAGAGUGGCUGUGGACACAAGCUUUUCUUUAUUUCACGACAGUCAACUUUUAUUGUGUAUAUUGUUUUGCACUUGAACAAUAAUUUUUGGUAAUAAAAGACAUUAAUUGUU